UGUGUGGGACCAGAAAGUCAUGGGCUUGUUCGUACCUGACAGGAGUUAACGGCUCUAUGGGAAAGGAAAGGAAAGGAAAGGAAGGGUGGAGCCAGACUCUGAUUCUGUUCAACCUAACUGAACCAGCAUGGUGAGAUUAUGAGGAAGCCACCUGAAAGCGUUUUGCCACAUAAGACCUCAGGGAGGACUACAGCAAGAUAAAGAAGUGCUCCUUGCUUAAGAACCAGAGAUGAAUUCAACCACAGGAUUAGUCUGAUGCCACAGAAACCCAUGCACUAUGCACCGAAGUGGAAAUAGUGCAUCAGAUUCACUUAUCUGGUCCGUAAAGACAGAACAAGUCUGGGCUGGCAACGUUUAAUUGUAUCCUCAAAGACAUCCUUAAAAACGAUGAGUGAUGGACCUGAAUGCUGUUUAGAACAAAGUACCAUUAUGCCUAAAGACAGCAAAAGUGUGUGGAGGUAAGUAUGAAUGUGUUUUCUCAAGCUGCUCCGAGUGAUUUAGGCCUUUGAUUUGCCUGUCCCCUCCCCUCCAGAAGGGCACAUUGGAAAUUUUAGUUCUGAUUACAAAUCUAUAUACUCCUAAAGCGAGAAUGACUUACCUACUCAAAUUUUACAAUUACUGAUGAAUGCCUUUGGUCUUCCCCCUUUCCAGCUAACCUACCAGCUGAGGAAAAUUUCAAUGACUGGCUGCUUGACUAAGUAAACAAUAAAAGAACAGAAAGUGAAACCCAAGAAAAGAUAAAAUGUAAAUAGUUAGUAUUAUCAAUCAUUGGUCUCACAAGAGCAUAUAGUCUUGGUAGGAGCACAGGAAGGAGUAACUAUAUGAAGAGAUUUGUUCCCUGUUUCCCACCACUGAGGAGGAUAUCAUAAAACUCCAGCAGAGGGACCAGAAGAUGGCGUAAUGGUUACAUCACUGAACUCCCAUGUAGUCGACCGCAGUUCGAGCCCCAGACCCGGUGGCUUAAAAUUC